rnacentral:misc_RNA from 1 species
GGGCUUUUUUUCUGCUCAUCUCUCCCAUCUUUCUGCUUUGCUUGUCUUCUUUGCUGGCCCGCCGCUGACCCCUUCCUCGGUGCGCCCUUCUCUCCUCCUCUCGUCUACUCCCGCCCUCUUACCCGGACGCGUCGUGUCAACGGAGAAGGCGGUCUUGCGGUGCGGCAAUUGUAGUCGGAGCGAACUAUGCGGCAUUAUAGGCCGGUGGGGUGGAGCCGCAAACGAACGCGCAAAAAAGUCGGAUGGCCACGAAACACGACAAGAUUGCCACGACAUACCGUCGCCUGUUUUAUCAUCCUUUCUUUUACCAUUAUUGUGGUUCCACCUCCCUUCCUCUAUACCGUUAGGAUGGUUGAACGCCUUAGCGUGGUGUUUCAGGGCCCACUGCCCCUCCCCUUCCCUCUGCCACUCUCUCUGCCUGGGAAAGCCAGGUAGCCCCUCCCUACCCCUGCCAAAUACCGCGCCACUUCGGAUGGUGCCAGUGCCUGGUGCCUGUGACGUAGAUGUCAGAGCGAUGCAUCGCUGCUGACGUCGGUAGCCGGGCUCCGAAUGGCGUUGCGUCGGAGCGACCUGCGACCGUGAGCACGCGUGCGCCAUCCAUGCGGUGGGCAGAGUGUCAGCGGGACUGGAGCGUGCAUCAUCCCCGGCCCUCGCCCUGCCUGCUGGUGCGGGGGGAGCCUGAGGGUUGCCCCGAGGGGGCUGCACCAGGUGGGGACAGGCAUGAUGGGCGAGCGGCCGUGCGGCGGCCUGCUCAGCGGAGGUGGAUAGAGCUCGAUGCAGGUGUGGCGCUGCGACGACUGCGUCGCCGUUGCGGUAGCACGUGUGUGCGGCUGCUUGGCAUCACGCAAACGAGCUGGCGACGGGCCCGGGCCGAGUUCUGUUGGGCCCCAUGCUCUGCAGCAGAUAGCGGGCACGUUGUCGUUAAAAGUCGUUAUCAGCAGUCCUCGAC